AGGGGGCUGUCUGGAGAGACCCCCCCCGGGCGCUGAGUCACCUGCGAGCUUGGGGUGCUGACCCCCCCCCCCCCCCGGGAGGCAGGGUAGGGACUCCGGUACUCACCGGCCUGGGAGAGCUCUGCUUCGCGCUGGCGUCCUCUUUUGUGGGCUGCCCCACCACCCCUGGCGAUGGUCUAGGCAGGGUCAUAGUUGCCCCGAGUAGGAGCAACAGGCGGCCUGGUCGUGGUUGGGACCCGCGAAAAAGCCCGGCCGCCGGCAGGGCGGGGUGCUGGAGGGCGAAGUCCGGGUGCCGCUGGGGAGCCCCCCGAAGGGGUCGGCGGGGAAGGUGAGAGAAGAAACGCGCGAGCCCGGAGAGCGCGCUGAACAGGAAGACGAGCAGCUGCAGAGCAGCAGGCGAGGCUGGGGGCUGUGGGGACAGAAAGAGAGAACGAGAGACAACUAGAACCGGUUACUGGAGGGCCCAGCUCCAGACUGAAGAACAAGUGCACUUCGUGCCACUUACUGAGCUUUGAAGUUGAAGUUGGAAGCCCAAGAGGCUUUUGGAGAACCGACAGCUGCUAGCUCAAGUUGGGGAGAUGAGUUGGAAACCUUUCAGAGCCUGCUUUGGUGCCUGGCCUUCUUCUCUCCAGGAGGGGGAGACAACAGGGGACCUCUCGGAUUCCUCUAGCACGGAGCAAGCUAGUGCCUUGACCUAGAAGGGGCAGCCAUACCUGGGAAGAUAGCGGUGAGCACCUGCUGGGGUUGGCCACCCUUGGAACUUCAGUGGAAGGACCCUGUCUAAAGAACUGAACAAACUUGGUUCCCUGCGACCCAGAGCCCACUAGAUCUAUCCACGACUUAAAGAUUUGAGUAAAGCUGGAUGCAUUGUACGUGAACAGUCAUACACACCUGGCAAGCUUGGGUCCCCUAACUUGCUGUCACCAGCUCAAGCUUUCAACUGCUUUUGUGAGCAUCUGCUAACUUGUAACCUGACUCUUCUCUCUUCCCACCCCAACCCCUCUUCCAAAAUCAAGUGCACAGCCCUUCCCUGUUGUAUGCUUCAUUAAGCAUUUUGCUUCGGUGCUGUGCUUCAGGACAGAGAUGCCUGUGAGGAAAAUAGUGGUGAUAUGUAGGCAGAAGGAAAGUCUCUAAUCCAGUCUCAGAGACACAAAGUUAGCAGUUACCUGUUCCUCAGCAAACAUUCACAUGACCCUCUUCUUUGGAUUACUCUGGGGCCUGCAGCCUGUUCCAGGAUCAGUCUUGGAGCUAGUCUGACCACUUGUUGCUGUCAAGGCAGAGACCUGGUGAUUUCACUGCUUAAUGGGAUGAGAAGCAUCAUAGGUGUAGGGUGGGCACAUUGCCUUUGGCCCUUCAGGCAAGGACAGAGCUGCCUAGUAUCUGAUUAACAACAAAAUGUGAUCUGUGAAAGUUCACAGAUCUGGGGAAAGACCUUCAGUUGCUUCUGUGCUCAUGACUCUAUAUUUCUGUCUCCCUUUUCAACCAGACUCUAAGUGCCAGUCAGAGGAUUUCAAUAAUAUUAGACACAAAGUGGGAUCUUUUUGGAGACUCCCCCCCAACACACAAAACCCUAGGGAAUACUUAAUUUUGAUCCAAUAUCCACUUCCACAAUUAAUCAUGUUGAUGACUGGACCAUACAGAAGAGAAAAAUCACCACAGUCUCAAAUUAACAUAAAUCCUCAACCUUUUAAAAAGCAAACUGAACCAGAUCACAUCAAAUCGAUGGUGUUUACAGUCAACAAUAUUUGUACACCUUUCCCAUAUUUGGGAGCUACUCUCUUCUCUGAUCCAGCUUUCUGUUCCUUUUCCCAGUCAUGACAUCAUCUCCUCAGACAAUAACUUGGAUCCACCUGCAUAUCAGAUUUCAGGCUCAGGGGAAAAAAAAACAACAAACUAGCAUAGCCACAGGCCCUUUGGAAUAUAACUAAAAUAUGCCUACUAGCUAUCUACAAAAUGGAGACCCCCCCCAACUCUUCAUCUGCACUACUCCAGCCUUUAGGUUCAUGAUUAGUCAACAACUUGUUUGGCUUUAUAUGUUAACUCUCUUUUCAGCCACCAGGUUCCAGAUGCUAGCUAGCAUGAUGCCAACCAGACUUCCCUGGACAGACAACCCCAACAAUGUGUCCUGGAGCUCUGCUCCCCCAGAGCCCUUCCCUACUAGGGAAAGAGAGAGACAGGUUGGGAGUAUGGAUCAGCCUGUCAACAUCCAUGUUCAGCGGGGAAGCAAU